rnacentral:rRNA from 1 species
CAUGGAGUUUGAUCCUGGCUCAGAUUGAACGCCGGCGGAAUGCUUUACACAUGCAAGUCGAACGGUAGAGGGGGCAACCCCUUGAGAGUGGCGAACGGGUGAGUAAUAUAUCGGAACGUGCCCAGUCGUGGGGGAUAACGUAGCGAAAGUUACGCUAAUACCGCAUACGAUCUAAGGAUGAAAGCGGGGGAUCGCAAGACCUCGCGCGACUGGAGCGGCCGAUAUCAGAUUAGCUAGUUGGUGAGGUAAAGGCUCACCAAGGCGACGAUCUGUAGCUGGUCUGAGAGGACGACCAGCCACACUGGAACUGAGACACGGUCCAGACUCUACGGGGAGCAGCAGUGGGGAAUUUUGGACAAUGGGGCGCAAGCCUGAUCCCAUCCCAUUCCGCGUGCAGGAUGAAGG